UACGUAGGGCGCAAGCGUUUGUCCGGAAUUAUUGGGCGUAAAGAGCUCGUAGGCGGUCUGUCGCGUCGGCUGUGAAAACCCGGAGCUCAACUCCGGGCCUGCAGUCGAUACGGGCAGACUGGAGUUCGGCAGGGGAGACUGGAAUUCCUGGUGUAGCGGUGAAAUGCGUAGAUAUCAGGAGGAACACCUGUGGCGAAAGCGGCUCACUGGACCACAACUGACGCUGAGGCGCGAAAGCUAGGGGAGCAAACAGG
rnacentral:rRNA from 1 species